GACGAACGCUGGCGGCGUGCCUAAUACAUGCAAGUCGAACGCAGUGGGGACGGGUGAGUAACACGUGGGUAACCUCCCAUCAGAGGGGAUAACACUUGGACACAGGUGCUAAACCGAUACUGAUGGAUGGACCCGCGGUGCAUUAGCUAGUUGGUGAGGUAACGGCUCACCAAGGCCACGAUGCCUAGCCGAACUGAGAGGAGGAUCGGCAACACUGGGAAUGAGACACGGCCCAGACUCCUACGGUAGGCAGCAGGAGGGAAUCGUCGGCAAUGGACGAAAGGCUGACCCAGCAACGCCGCGUGAGUGAAGAAGGUUUUCGGAUCGUAAAACUCUGUUGUUAGAGAAGCGGUAUCUAAACAGAAAGCCACGGCUAACUCCGUGCCAGCCGCCGCGGUAAUAC
rnacentral:rRNA from 1 species